GACGAACCGUGCGAACGUUGUUCGGAAUCACUGGGCUUAAAGGGCGCGUAGGCGGGCGAUCAAGUCCGGGGUGAAAGCUUUCGGCUCAACCGGAAAAGGCCUUGGAUACUGAUCGUCUGGAGGGAGGUAGGGGCCCGUGGAACGUCCGGUGGAGCGGUGAAAUGCGUUGAUAUCGGAAGGAACGCCGGUGGCGAAAGCGACGGGCUGGAUCGUCUACUGACG
rnacentral:rRNA from 1 species